CAGGUGGCGCUGUGGAGCUUUUUGAUCAUGGUUGCAAUGCGCCUUAAAAGCAGAAGAGAAGCAGCAGAGGAGUCACUUGGAAGCUCUGCAGUGUGAACCUCAGCUCUGAUGAUAACUCUUAAGAAGCUACACCUCCAAGACUCUGCAGGGAGAAAGGUGUUUGCGGGACCUGAACCUCUCAUGGACCGGACUUGACUCAGGUACUGGUCGUUCAACAGACACAUCUACCUUUCCUUCAUGCUGUGUGUUGAUUAUGUUGUGUUCUGCUGCAAUUUGAAUUGAUUGUAUCACCCUGUUUUGCAAUUAUCUAAUAAAAUCUUGCCUGUGUAAUUCUU